AAUCUUCCACAAUGGGUGCAAACCUGAUGGAGCAAUGCCGCGUGAAUGAAGAAGGUCUUCGGAUCGUAAAGUUCUGUUAUUAGAGAAGAACAAGUCAAGGCGACACUGUCUUGACUUUGACGGUACUUAACCAGAAAGUCACGUCUAACUACGUGCAAGCAGCCGCGGUAAGACGUAGGUGACAAGAGUUGUCCGGAACUAUUGGGCGGAAAGGGAGACGAGUGGGUUGGAAUAGUCUGGUAUGAAAGCCCACGGCUUAACCGUGGAAGGUCAUUGGAAACUGUCCAACUUGAAUGCAGAAGAGGUAAGUGGAAUUCCAUGUGUAGCGGUGAAAUGCGUAGAUAUAUGGAGGAACGCCAGAGGCGAAGGCGACUUACUGGUCUGUGAUUGACGCUGAGGCUCGAAAGCGUGGGUAGCGAACA
rnacentral:rRNA from 1 species